rnacentral:rRNA from 1 species
AAAUUGAAGAGUUUGAUCAUGGCUCAGAUUGAACGCUGGCGGCAGGCCUAACACAUGCAAGUCGAGCGGUAACACAGAGAGCUUGCUCUCGGGUGACGAGCGGCGGACGGGUGAGUAAUGUCUGGGAAACUGCCUGAUGGAGGGGGAUAACUACUGGAAACGGUAGCUAAUACCGCAUAAUGUCGCAAGACCAAAGUGGGGGACCUUCGGGCCUCAUGCCAUCAGAUGUGCCCAGAUGGGAUUAGCUAGUAGGUGGGGUAACGGCUCACCUAGGCGACGAUCCCUAGCUGGUCUGAGAGGAUGACCAGCCACACUGGAACUGAGACACGGUCCAGACUCCUACGGGAGGCAGCAGUGGGGAAUAUUGCACAAUGGGCGCAAGCCUGAUGCAGCCAUGCCGCGUGUGUGAAGAAGGCCUUCGGGUUGUAAAGCACUUUCAGCGGGGAGGAAGGCGGUGAGGUUAAUAACCUCACCGAUUGACGUUACCCGCAGAAGAAGCACCGGCUAACUCCGUGCCAGCAGCCGCGGUAAUACGGAGGGUGCAAGCGUU